rnacentral:rRNA from 1 species
GCGAACGCUGGCGGCGUACUUAACACAUGCAAGUCGAACGAGGAUCAUCGGUGUAGCAAUACAUCGGCGGUCCUAGUGGCGUACGGGUGAGUAACACGUGGGCAACCUGCCCUCGAGCUCGGGAUAACCUUUCGAAAGGAAGGCUAAUACCGGAUACGUUCCUCGGGUCGCGAGACCUGGGGAGGAAAGGUGGCGCAAGCUACCGCUCUUGGAGGGGCUCGCGGCCUAUCAGCAGUUGGUGAGGUAACGGCUCACCAAGGCUAUGACGGGUAGCUGGUCUGAGAGGACGACCAGCCACACGGGAACUGAGACACGGUCCCGACUCCUACGGAGGCAGCAGUGGGGAAUUUUCCGCAAUGGCGCAAGCCUGACGGAGUGACGCCGCGUGGGGGAC